UACGUAGGGGGCAAGCGUUGUCCGGAAUCAUUGGGAGUAAAGAGCGUGUAGGCGGCCCGAUAAGUCCGACGUGAAAGCCCAGGGCUCAACCCUGGGAUGCCGGUGGAUACUGUCGGGCUAGAAUCCGGAAGAGGCGAGUGGAAUUCCUGGUGUAGCGGUGAAAUGCGCAGAUAUCAGGAGGAACACCGAUGGCGAAGGCAGCUCGCUGGGACGGUAUUGACGCUGAGACGCGAAAGCGUGGGGAGCAAACAGG
rnacentral:rRNA from 1 species